rnacentral:lncRNA from 12 species
GCUGAGAUCGAGACUCAGCCGCUUACGGGCGGGGCCGCCCAAGGCGCCCCAGUGUCCCCCCGCAGUUUAGAGGUCUCAGGACUGGCUUUGGGGAAAGCUCGGGAAUCAGGCAGCUCACCCGGCCGGGUCUCCGCGCCGCUGACUCCGCGGCGGCCGCCGAGGGGCGCCCCCUGCAGGCGGGGCCGCUGCCGGGCGGGGCGCCGCGCUCGCACGGGGCCUCGGCCCAGGACGCGGCAGAGCCGAGGCGCGAGCCCGCGGGAGCCGGGCCUGGCCAGUCGGCGCCCUCCCCGCGUCCCUCCCCGCGUCCCUCCCCGCGUCCCUCCCCGCGUCCCUCCCCGCGUCCCUACCGCAGCCGUGCGCGCGCCCGCCGGACGCCCUCGCCGGCACCCUCCGAGCUCCCUGGCGUGGCCGAGCCCGCCGAGAAACCCGGGACGGGGGCCGUGGUGGGGACGUGGGCAGCUCCGCCGGGCUGACCGUGCAAAGCCGCGCGUCCAGGCCGCCGCGGCGCCUGCCCAUGCCCCGAGCCCAGCCUUUCUUCGCACGUCCCUUGUGACAGAAGCUCACCCCAGCACCGGUGCUCGGCCGGACCCUAAAACUCCUACUGUUUAGGAACACCGGCUCAAGGUCAGCUGGAGAAAGGUGCUUGUCAGCUGGGAGGGAGACAGAUGGGAGAACAGAUGAGUUUUCUGUAGAAACCAGCCUGCCCCAUCUUCUGUCCUUUGCAAAGCGGUGGCCAAACAACAGAAAACUGGAUGCCCGAGGUGGGGCCACGUGAAAGGGGGUGAAGAAGGGAAUGCAGCCGCCUGAUUCUCACAGAAAAGCCCAGAAUCAUUUGGGGGUCCCGGUUGCUAGAAGGCGGAAACAGGGUCAGGGAGCAUAGGGAGAGGGAAUGAGUGUAUCACUGAGCCACCGAGGGUGUGAUGGUGUCAUUUUAUGUGUCAGCCCGACUGGGCUCACUAAGUGCAGAGAGCUGGCAAAACAUUAUUUCGGGGGGACGCCUGGGUGGCUCCGCGGUUGGGCGUCUGCCUUCAGCCCAAGGUGUGAUCCUGGAGUCCUAGGAUCGAGUCCCACGUGGGGCUCCCUGCAUGGAGCCUGCUUCUCCCUCUGCCUGUGUCUCUGCCUCUCUCUCUCUCUUUCUGUGUCUCUCAUGAAUAAAUAAAUAAAAUCUUAAAAAAAAAAAAACA